UAUUUAUAUUCUUACUUUAUUUGUUUGUGUCUAUUAUUAAGAGAAAUAUCUUUAUUUUUAGUAUAUUAAAGAACUAAGGAUUAAUAUUGUUAUAGUUUAUUAGUACCGUAAGGGAAUUGAUGAAAUAUGUUGAAAAUUGAAGUUUUAAUAAGUAGAUUUUAUUUAUUGUACCUUUUGUAUCAGGGUUAAUUAAUUAUUUUUAAUCUAUUUUAUUGUCUCGAUUUCAGAAGAGCUAGUUUUAAAUUAUAGUUGUUGUUUCAUAACCAUUGUAUAUUUAAUUUUAGGGGAGAAAUUCCAUUCGAUUUUAAAGGUAUCUAGUUUUUUAAGAAUUAAAUUUAAUUUAGGUUUAUUUGUUAAUUAAUUUAUUUAUGAGUUGAUUAUUAGAUAAGGCUGAAAUAUUAGGGGACAAGCUCUAAUUUUUUCCUAUAAUUUUCGUUUAAUUUAAUUUUUGUAGGGUUUAAACCAUCCAUCAUUAAAGAGUUCGUUAUAGUUUAUAUUGAAUUAAUUUGAUUUUCUUUUAUUUAGUAUCUUAUUAAAAUAUAAUUUUUAAUUUUAAAAAUUUUGUAAUAAUGAUUGAAUUAGUAUAAUUGUUUUGUGAAAUAUUUAUUUAUUGUUAUAAUUAAAUAAGGAAUUCGGCAAAAAUAACAGUCGCCUGUUUAUCAAAAACAUGUCCUCUUGAUUUGUGUAUGAGGUCUGACCUGCCCGGUGAAUUGUUUUUAACGGCCGCGGUAUUUUGACCGUGCAAAGGUAGCAUAAUCAUUAGUCUUUUAAUAGGAGGCUGGUAUGAAGGGUUUGACGAGCUGUUGGCUGUCUCAUUUAAUUUGAUGUUAAAAUUUAACUUUUCAGUCAAAAGGCUGAACUUAUAUUGGAAGACGAGAAGACCCUAUAGAGCUUUAUAAUUGAAAUCUCGAUUAAUCUUUGUUUAUUAAUAUUUUUUGGGGUUUAAAUUAUUUUGUUGGGGUGACAAAAAUAUAUAAUCAACUUUUUUAUUUAGGUAACAUUGAUUUAUGGUUUAUAGAUCCAAUCUUAUUGAUUGUUAGUUUAAGUUACCUUAGGGAUAACAGCGUAAUCUUCCCUAGGAGUUCAUAUUUACGGGAAGGCUUGCGACCUCGAUGUUGGAUUAAGAUAAUAAUUAGGUGCAGCCGCUUAAUUAAUAGGUCUGUUCGACCUUUAAAUUCUUACAU
rnacentral:rRNA from 1 species